UUAUCCCGCCACCGGUCGGCUUUUUAAGUUCCAAGGUGGUAGCGGAACUGUGUUAUCCCUUAGUCGCCUCUUACGACAGCCACGGGAAGAGAGGGGGUGGCUAUAUUCUUUAGUACCGUAAGCUUUAGACUAGGAAAAACCGAAUUAUGGGGUUUUGGGGGUGGAGGGCGGAGGGUGUAAGGGAAGCUAUACAAGGUAACACUGCCACACUUCAAAACCCCAUGGUUAUGGAGAUAUCCAUGGUUA
rnacentral:misc_RNA from 1 species